CAGAGGAACACGACGGCAGAGCGACUGAGAAGUGUUGGAGGUCCGACAGUAGAAAGAAAACCUGAGUCUCCAGUGGUGACUCACCUGUCCCCAGCAGCAGCUCUCGGUCUUCUUCAUGGCGCCAUCACAGCUCCAGCUCCGCACUGAGGGAGCGGGGGACCGUUGGCCAGGAGAUCUCCACCAGAGGACCUGAAGCCUGAGGCUGUGUGGAUGAACUAUAUCACUGCUGCUCAGCUCAUGAUGUCUUCUGAGAUGUUUCGUUGGAAUCAAUUCAACCAAAAGCACCAAGAGGUAAAGACAAGAAGAUCUCUGUCUGUCCUCACGUCUCUUCUCUCCUCAAGAGAUUCAUGGAACACACUGAAAAAAGGCCAACUGUUCUAGCUAGUUGGCUUAAAGUUAAAUUAUAACAAAAGUGAUGUGACCUUCUUCCUAAUACAGCUUUACCUCAGGUCUGGUUUCAGAUUGGGCCUUUAAGCCGUUGUGAAAAAAACCGUUGUGAGACUG